AGCGAACGCUGGCGGCAGGCCUAACACAUGCAAGUCGAACGAACUCUUCGGAGUUAGUGGCGGACGGGUGAGUAACACGUGGGAACGUGCCUUUAGGUUCGGAAUAACUCAGGGAAACUUGUGCUAAUACCGAAUGUGCCCUUCGGGGGAAAGAUUUAUCGCCUUUAGAGCGGCCCGCGUCUGAUUAGCUAGUUGGUGAGGUAAAGGCUCACCAAGGCGACGAUCAGUAGCUGGUCUGAGAGGAUGAUCAGCCACAUUGGGACUGAGACACGGCCCAAACUCCUACGGGAGGCAGCAGUGGGGAAUCUUGCGCAAUGGGCGAAAGCAUGACGCAGCCAUGCCGCGUGAAUGAUGAAGGUCUUAGGAUUGUAAAAUUCUUUCACCGGGGACGAUAAUGACGGUACCCGGAGAAGAAGCCCCGGCUAACUUCGUG
rnacentral:rRNA from 1 species